rnacentral:rRNA from 1 species
UACGUAGGAUGCAAGCGUUGUCCGGAUUUACUGGGCGUAAAGCGCGCGCAGGCGGCACACCAAGUACCCUAUGAAAUCUCCUUGCUCAACGGGGAGGGUGUUGGGUAGACUGGUGAGCUAGAGGACGGUAGAGGGGGUAGAAUUGCUGGUGUAGCGGUGAAAUGCGUAGAGAUCAGCAGGAAUACCCGUGGCGAAGGCGAGUCCCUGGACAACACCUGACACUGAGGCACGAAAGCUAGGGGAGCAAACAGG